rnacentral:rRNA from 1 species
GACGAACGCUGGCGGCGUGCUUAACACAUGCAAGUCGAACGGAAAGGCCCGGCUUUGGUGGGGUGCUCGAGUGGCGAACGGGUGAGUAACACGUGAGUAACCUGCCCUUGACUUUGGGAUAACUUCAGGAAACUGGGGCUAAUACCGGAUAGGAGCUCCUGCUGCAUGGUGGGGGUUGGAAAGUUUCGGCGGUUGGGGAUGGACUCGCGGCUUAUCAGCUUGUUGGUGGGGUAGUGGCUUACCAAGGCCUUGACGGGUAGCCGGCCUGAGAGGGUGACCGGCCACAUUGGGACUGAGAUACGGCCCAGACUCCUACGGGAGGCAGCAGUGGGGAAUAUUGCACAAUGGGCGGAAGCCUGAUGCAGCAACGCCGCGUGCGGGAUGACGGCCUUCGGGUUGUAAACCGCUUUCGCCUGUGACGAAGCGUGAGUGACGGUACUGGGUAAAGAAGCGCCGGCUAACUACGUG